AUAGCGUAUAUUUAAGUUGUUGCAGUUAAAAAGCUCGUAGUUGGACCUUGGGACGUCACGGUCGGUCCGCCUUCUUGGUGUGCACUGGCCCUCACGUCCCUUCUGCCGGCGGCGUGUUCCUGGCCUUAAUUGGCUGGGUCGCGGUUCCGGCGCCGUUACUUUGAAAAAAUUAGAGUGCUCAAAGCAAGCCUACGCUCUGAAUACAUUAGCAUGGAAUAACGCGAUAGGAGUCUGGUCCUGUUCCGUUGGCCUUCGGGACCGGAGUAAUGAUUAAUAGGGACUGUCGGGGGCAUUCGUAUUUCAUUGUCAGAGGUGAAAUUCUUGGAUUUAUGGAAGACGAACCACUG
rnacentral:rRNA from 1 species